rnacentral:rRNA from 1 species
UACGAAGGGGGCUAGCGUUGCUCGGAAUCACUGGGCGUAAAGGGUGCGUAGGCGGGUCUUUAAGUCAGGGGUGAAAUCCUGGAGCUCAACUCCAGAACUGCCCUUUGAUACUGAGGAUCUUGAGUUCGGGAGAGGUGAGUGGAACUGCGAGUGUAGAGGUGAAAUUCGUAGAUAUUCGCAAGAACACCAGUGGCGAAGGCGGCUCACUGGCCCGAUACUGACGCUGAGGCACGAAAGCGUGGGGAGCAAACACGG